UGUAAGCGUAUACCAAAGUUGUUGCAGUUAAAACGCUCGUAGUCGGAAUUUGGCAGUUCCGGAUGUGUGCACGUCGUGUGCGCACUUCGCGGGGAUUGCUUCUGUGGUCUUGCGUAGGAUGAGGCACUUUUAUUAGUGAACGUCCUCACGCAACCACUUUUUACUGUGAGAAAAUCAGAGUGCUCAAAGCAGGCAUUUGCCGUGAAUGUAUUAGCAUGGAAUAAUAGAAUAGGACUUGGUUCUAUUUUGUUGGUUUGUUGGGACUGAGUAAUGAUUAAGAGGGACAGUUGGGGGCACUUGUAUUUCGGUGCUAGAGGUGAAAUUCUUAGAUUACCGAAAGACAAACUGCUGCGAAAGCGUCUGCCAAGGAUGUUUUCAUUGA
rnacentral:rRNA from 1 species